UCUGCGGAAGUGUUUACGUGUUUCCGGCGUCGACAUCGUGCCUGGACACACGGGUGGCGGCGGCGGCGGUGAAAGGACGUUCGCCUAAUCAGCUCUUUUUGCCUACCCAGACUACCUGAAAACGGCUGCCGUGGCUGCGGAAUCGCAUCUUGACGUCACUGAGUCUGCGGAAGUGUUUACGUGUUUCCGGCGUCGACAUCGUGCCUGGACACACGGGUGGCGGCGGCGGCGGUGAAAGGACGUUCGCCUAAUCAGCUCUUUUUGCCUACCCAGACUACCUGAAAACGGCUGCCGUGGCUGCGGAAUCGCAUCUUGACGUCACUGAGUCUGCGGAAGUGUUUACGUGUUUCCGGCGUCGACAUCGUGCCUGGACACACGGGUGGCGGCGGCGGCGGUGAAAGGACGUUCGCCUAAUCAGCUCUUUUUGCCUACCCAGGUUGGUAAAUUGGCUUACUUUCUUAAUACCGCCUUACCGCUACCGCCGUUGCCACCGUGUUUCAGAGCUUUGUUGAGUGUUUUGUGCUAAAUGUGUUUUUUUUCUGAACUGAAUGCUGCCGAAUUGCGUGCGAACUGAGUGCGACUGUGAAUCCCCGGACCACGUACCAUGGCAAGCACAUGCCAGUCUUGUGGUGAGCCCCUCCCCUGUGAUGGACGCGUCCUGAAGUGCAACGAAUGUGAGUGCUCUUACCAUGUUGGCAGUUGUUCUGGCUGGUCGGAGUCGACAUUUAAGACUAAAGGCGAAAGCGGUCGCAAGGCAUGGCGAUGUACUGCCUGCCGUUCUUCGAAAGCGAAAAGUGGGGAGAAAACUAGCAUGGACUCUGAUUUAGCCGUUUGUUUGGCAGAUAUAACUAGGAGGCUUGAUGCGUUGGCAGGGCUGCCGGCUCAGGUUGGAGAGAUUAAGGACUCAAUCCAGCUAUUGUCACAGAAGUACGAUGACAUCCUGAGCCGUCAAGUUAAGCAGGAAACUGUCAUUAGUAGUUUAAACAAACGCGUUGGGAAAUUGGAGGCGGACUGCACCUCAGGUGACAUUCAACAGCUGAAAGCUACUGUGAAUGAUCUCGAGUUUCGUAGUCGGAGACUAAACAUAGAAGUUCACGGCAUCCCAGCCACGCCAAACGAGGAUUUGCUACGUAGGUUGAAUGAUGUGGCCAAGAUUGCUAACCUGCCAGACCUGACGGGGAAUGACAUUGGCGCUAUCCACAGACUUCCGUCGAAGCCAAACAGAAUACCAGGAAUCAUAGUUCGAUUUGCCCAACAAUCAACUCGUGAUAAGUGGCUGGGAAAGCGCAAAGUCCUAAGAGAUGCCUCAUCGGGUGUUUCUAUCACUGAGAACAUGACCCAGCAAAACAGAGAGCUGCUGCGCUGCGCGAAAGACUGGGCACAGAACAAUGGCUAUCGUUUUUCAUGGCACUGCAACGGCAAAAUUCUCGUUAGGAAAAGAGAAGGUGAUAACGCGGUUGUCAUUCGUUGUUUGGCCGACCUUGAUAA